GCCUGGAUAGCUCAGUCAGUAGAGCAUGAGACUCUGAAUCCCAGGGUUGUGUGUUCGUACCCCACCUUGGGCG
rnacentral:tRNA from 1 species